rnacentral:rRNA from 1 species
CCAGACUCCUACGGGAGGCAGCAGUGGGGAAUAUUGCACAAUGGGGGAAACCCUGAUGCAGCCAUGCCGCGUGUGUGAAGAAGGCCUUCGGGUUGUAAAGCACUUUCAGCGAGGAGGAAAGGUUGAUGCCUAAUACGUAUCAACUGUGACGUUACUCGCAGAAGAAGCACCGGCUAACUCCGUGCCAGCAGCCGCGGUAAUACGGAGGGUGCAAGCGUUAAUCGGAAUUACUGGGCGUAAAGCGCACGCAGGCGG